rnacentral:rRNA from 1 species
UACACACCGCCCGUNACACCAUGGGAGUGGAAUCCGCCAGAAGUAGGUAGUCUAACCCGAGGGUAACUGAGGGGGGACGCUUACCACGGUAGGUUUCAUGACUGGGGUGAAGUCGUAACAAGGUACCC